rnacentral:lncRNA from 1 species
UUCACCAAGGCUGCAUUGCAGUGGCACAGUCACAGAUCACUGCAGGCUUGACUGCCCAGGCCCAGACGAUUCUCCCACCUUAGCCUCCUGAAUAGCUGGAACUACAGUUCUGGAGCCGUCCGUGGGAGGAAGAGUGGAGGAAGAGGAGGCGGAAGAAGGAAGGAGGAAGGGCCGUACCAAGUCACCGGUGAACGUUCCCAGCACGCACAGGACUCCUCCCAGAAACAGACAGGUGGAAGCUGACCACUAAAAGCUGGCUAGAGAGAGCCAGGGCACUCAGGACUUGGGGGAGAGUUGAAGUAUUAUGUUGGCAAAAGACUCUAUGGGUAUCCUCACUUGACUAGAAGAAGGAUUACUUUUUCCUUGGACCCAGGAAUCUGCUGAGGUGUUCACAGCUGCCUGCCUGCCUGCCGUGUCAGAUAGUAGAAGUGGUGUGAUGAUGACCAAGUUGGAUGGUGAAUGGAAGAUUCUCGACACCAGGUACUGCCCAGCCAACAAGACACAGGCUUGUCCCACCGCAGCAGAAAGUUGUUCUGUAGGCCAAUAGCGAGACUGAGAAAUGGCCAGAUGCAAAAGAAACCAGUUCUGACUGCACUCCAGCUCUGCCUACCAAGUCAGGGCCAGGAGGCCCACGAACACUCCCUCAUUGCUGACACUACAGAGCUGAGCUUCACAAAGUGCUCCCUGUUGGCUCUGCAUUUAGACCUCCCACAACUACAGAUAAAACAGAGGGAGACUAACAUGCCUUAGAAACUAAGCAAAUAACUUAAAGGAUAAUAUUUAAACAUGCUCAUAUAUCUAGAUCUUGAUCUUCCUUUAUUCAAUUUCAUGGUCAUGCAAAUAUAACAGCUUGAGAUA